rnacentral:rRNA from 1 species
GGUUCUAGAUUUCGAGUUGUCACAGAUCCCAUCAGAACUCCGCAGUUAAGCGUGCUUGGGCGAGAGUAGUACUAGGAUGGGUGACCCCCUGGGAAGUCCUCGUGUUGCAACCC